GAUGAAGAACGCAGCGAAAUGCGAUAAGUAAUGUGAAUUGCAGAAUUCAGUGAAUCAUCGAAUCUUUGAACGCACCUUGCGCCCUUUGGCCAUUCCGAAGGGCAUGCCUGUUUGAGUAUCAUGAACACCUCAACUCUUUAUGGUUUUCCAUGAUGAGCUUGGACUCUGGGGGUUUUGCUGGCUCACAGUCGGCUCCUCUAAAAUGAAUCAGCUUACCAGUGUUUGGUGGGUAUCAUGGGUGUGAUAACUAUCUACGCUUGUGGUUUUUCCAACAGGUAACCUUCAGCAGUGGAGGUUCGCUGGAGCUCAUAAAUGUCUCUCCUCAGUGAGGACAGCCCUUUGAAUGUUUGAUCUCAAAUCAGGUAGGACUACCCGCUGAACUUAAGCAUAUCAAUAAGCGGAGGA
rnacentral:misc_RNA from 1 species